rnacentral:rRNA from 1 species
GACGAACGCUGGCGGCGUGCUUAACACAUGCAAGUCGAACGGAAAGGCCCUGCUUUUGUUUGUUUCUCGAUUGGCGAACGGGUGAGUAACACGUGAGUAACCUGCCCUUGUCUGUGGGAUAACUUCACGAAACUGCGGCUCAUACCCGAUAUGAUCUCCUGCUGCAUGGUGGUGGUUGGAAAGUUUCGGCGGUUGGGGAUGGACUCGCGGCUUAUCAGCUUCUUUGUGUGGUAGUGGCUUACCAAGGCUUUGACGGGUAGCCGGCCUGAGAGGGUUACCGGCCACAUGGGGACUGAGAUACGGAGCAGACGCCUACGGGAGGCAGAAGGGGGGAAUAUGGCACAAUGGGCGGGAGCCUGAUGCAGAAACGCCGCGUGCGGGAUGACGGCCUUCGGGUUGUAAACAGAUUUCGCAGGAGACGAAGCGAGAGUGACGGUAAUGGGUAAAGAAGCACCGGCUAACUACGUG